AACCCUUGUUGUGGACAUUUCCGCAAGAGGUCCUUGAAUCACUCUCAAGUCUCAAACAAGGAUUCAAGCUCCAUCUGAACAAAUGAAGAUGUCUCAUUAUGAAGCUU